UACGUAGGGGGCUAGCGUUGUCCGGAAUCAUUGGGCGUAAAGCGCGUGUAGGCGGCCAGGUAGGUCAGCUGUGAAAACUCGAGGCUCAACCUCGAGACGUCGGUUGAAACCACCUGGCUAGAGUCCGGAAGAGGAGAGUGGAAUUCCUGGUGUAGCGGUGAAAUGCGCAGAUAUCAGGAAGAACACCCGUGGCGAAGGCGGCUCUCUGGGACGGUACUGACGCUGAGACGCGAAAGCGUGGGGAGCGAACAGG
rnacentral:rRNA from 1 species